AAGCCGGUUGUGAGUGACGACGACAGUGAGGAGGAGCAGGAGGAGGACCGCUCAGGAAGUGGCAGCGAGGAGGACUGAGCCGACAUUCCGCGUCUCCAUCGAGAGCCGGCGUAGCCCUUAGCGUAACGGGUAGCAGCAGACGUAGUUCAGCCUGGGGAACUGUAUAGACUCGAACUCCGUAUUUAUGCGACAGAGCUGUAGGACCGUGUGUGGCCCGGCCCGGCAGCGGCGUGGGUCAAGGCAUUAACUGUUUAGAGCAGGCCCCGCGGCAGUGGCGACAGCAGAGGGGCAGCGCUGUCGCAGCACCAGGUCACCGUAGUGCAGCGUGGUGCAUGUGUGGCCGCCCACCCCUCGUACUGCGCCUCUGGGCAGGCUGGGCUCGCGGGUGCGGCCGGCGGGUACGUCAGUGUCACUGGAUGUCAAGCAGUAAUAAAUUAAACCAGCAAACCGA